rnacentral:sRNA from 1 species
AGCAGCCGCGGUAAUUCCAGCUCCAAUAGCGUAUAUUAAAGUUGUUGCAGUUAAAAAGCUCGUAGUUGAAUUUCGGGAUCAAUGGGUUGGUCAUGCCCUCGGUAUGUACUGAUUUCAUUGGUUCUCACCUUCUAAGGAACCAUGAUGUCAUUUAUUUGAUGUUGUGGGAAAUUAGGACUGUUACCUUGAAAAAAUUAGAGUGUUUAAAGCAGGCUAACGCUUGAAUACAUUAGCAUGGAAUAAUGAAAUAGGACAUCCGAUUCUAUUUUGUUGGUUUCUAGGAUCGAUGUAAUGAUUAAUAGGGAUAGUUGGGGGCAUUAGUAUUCAAUUGUCAGAGGUGAAAUUCUUGGAUUUAUUGAAGACUAACUACUGCGAAAGCAUUUGCCAAGGAUGUUUUCAUUAAUCAAGAACGAAAGUUAGGGGAUCGAAGACGAUCAGAUACCGUCGUAGUCUUAACCAUAAACUAUGCCGACUAGGGAUCGGAUGAUGCUUAUUUUUAAUGA